UGAAGGACAGCUGAGGCUGCUGGAGCAGUUAACCUUCACAAAGGUCGCUAGCGAUGAGGAAGCAACACGCUGCGAGGCCAAAAGGCUGAGGACUCCAAGAUGAUCUUUUUUGGCACUGCUGGAGACAGACAUCAUAGCUGCAAGCAGAAGGUCUACGUGGACAGGCAGAAAACACAUCGUGUGAAACAAGCCCCAGGUCAGUGCCGUCUUAGGAAUCCAGACUUUAUUGUCUUGAAUUGCUCUUGGAGAUAUUCAUUAACAACUUUAAAAAAAAAUACCUAUGGCACCUAGAUGUUAAAUCCCAUUAAAGAGAACACAGGUAGAAUUGCUUCUAAUUGGGAAUCUGGCCCCUUUACCAAUUCAGAUUUCGUUUGCUCCCCUUUUAGAGAACUAAUUCAAGUGGAUUGAAGAACCUGACCUAGUAGACAUUUGAAUUACAGAGCACCUAGGUGAACUUAGAGAACUAUUACUAACAUUUUUAGCAUGCACCUAUUGCCAGU
ensembl:lncRNA